rnacentral:rRNA from 1 species
GACGAACGCUGGCGGCGUGCCUAAUACAUGCAAGUAGAACGCUGAAGGAGGAGCUUGCUUCUCUGGAUGAGUUGCGAACGGGUGAGUAACGCGUAGGUAACCUGCCUGGUAGCGGGGGAUAACUAUUGGAAACGAUAGCUAAUACCGCAUAAUAUUGACUAUUGCAUGAUAGUCAGUUGAAAGGUGCAACUGCACCACUACCAGGUGGACCUGCGUUGUAUUAGCUAGUUGGUGGGGUAACGGCUCACCAAGGCGACGAUACAUAGCCGACCUGAGAGGGUGAUCGGCCACACUGGGACUGAGACACGGCCCAGACUCCUACGGGAGGCAGCAGUAGGGAAUCUUCGGCAAUGGACGGAAGUCUGACCGAGCAACGCCGCGUGAGUGAAGAAGGUUUUCGGAUCGUAAAGCUCUGUUGUAAGAGAAGAACGAGUGUGAGAGUGGAAAGCUCACACUGUGACGGUAUCUUACCAGAAAGGGACGGCUAACUACGUG